rnacentral:rRNA from 1 species
GAUGAACGCUGGCGGCGUGCCUAAUACAUGCAAGUCGAGCGAACAGACGAGGCGCUUGCUCCUCUGACGUUUGCGGCGGACGUGUGUGUAACACGUGUAUCACCUCCCUAUAUUACUGGUAUCACUUCGGGACUCCGGCGCUUAUACCGUAUAAUCUAUUGAUCCGUAUGGUUCAUUAGUGAAUGUCGGUUUUUCUGUCUCUUCUAGAUGGUUCCGCGCCGCAUUAGCUAGUUGGUAAGGUAACGGCUUUUCAAGGCAACGAUGCGUAACCGACCUGAGAGAGUGAUCGGCCACACGGGAACGGAGACACGGACAAGAGGCCUAAGGGAGGCAGCAGAAGGGAAUGGGCCGCAAUGGGGGAAAGCCUGACAGAGCAACGCCGCGUGAGAGAUGAAGGGCUUCGGAUCGUAAAACUCUGUUAUGAGGGAAGAACAAAUGUGGAAGGAAAUAAGCACGGAGUGACGGUACCGAAUCAGAAAGCAACGGCUAACUACGUG